rnacentral:rRNA from 1 species
AUGUAUAUGACGGGGAUGUACAUCUUGGCCAAAGGUGUGCAUAGCUCCUUUGACAAGGAGCUGGCUAGGUUCUUCUGGCAGGCAGGGGGUCGGCCUAAGUACCAUAUGGUGAAAUGGGCUAACAUCUGCUUCCCGAAGGAUCGAGGUGGGUUGGGUAUCCCUGCGCCUCGCUGUAUGACCGUUGCGCUCAUGCUUCGUUGCGUUUGGCAGAUCUUGCGGGGAGAUGGGGGUUUGUGGCUGCAGCUGAUUGAGUCCAAGUACUUGCAGGGUCAACCCCUCUUGGCUUGCUCACACUCUGCUGGGUCCCAGUUCUGGAAGCCUGUCCAGGCCAUCAAGGAUGAGAUUAGGCUGGGUUACGGUUCUCGGUUGGUAAUGGGUCUGGGACCUAGUUUUGGUUGGACCCCUGGCUUGAUGGGGAGCCUCUCCACAUUCGAAUUCUCCGUUAGUUCGGCUUAUCAGGUGUUGUGCCAGCUGCUGGUUCUCAAGUGGUUAUCCCCAUUGUGGAAGGCGCCGAUGCCCCUGAAGAUCAAGAUUUUUGUGUGGCAGCUUCUCAGAGAUCGCUUACCUUCGGGGACCGAGGUGCUGAAACGCCAUCGUCCGGGCAAUGGCCUUUUCCCCCUUUGCCUCGUCCCAAAAACGGGAACGCACAUCUUGUUCUCGUGCGUAGCAGCGCAGGCACUUUGGUGCUUUGUUCGUGAGGCCCGGGACCAGAGUGGGAGGCCCAUGACCUUGCAGAGUUUCUGCAGCACUGGCAUCCGCUCGCUAGGCUGA